UCAGACGAUGCGUCAUGCAUAUCAAUAAGCGGAGGAAAAGAAACUAACAAGGAUUCCCUUAGUAACGGCGAGUGAAGCGGGAAGAGCUCAAAUUUGAAAUCUUCAAGGUUUUACCUUGACGAAUUGUAGUUUAAAGAAGUGUUUUCUGCUGAAGUUUUGGUAAAAGUUCUUUGGAAUAGGACAUCAUAGAGGGUGAGAAUCCCGUAUUUGACCAUUAUUUUCAGCUUUGUGGAUACACUUUCAAAGAGUCGGAUUGUUUGGGAAUGCAGUCCAAAAUGGGUGGUAAAUUUCAUCUAAAGCUAAAUAUUGGCGAGAGACCGAUAGCGAACAAGUACCGUGAGGGAAAGAUGAAAAGAACUUUGAAAAGAGAGUUAAACAGUACGUGAAAUUGUCAAAAGGGAAGCGUUUGACACCAGUGUUGUUUUCUCGAAAAUCAAUUAAAAAUGGCUCGAUUUUGUAUUGCUGAGACCUUAAAAGCUCACUGUACAUUUUUCGUGUCUUUUUUAAUGCACUUUUCGUUUAACAAGGUCAACAUCAGUUUCUUUUGUUGUAAAAGGGUCAUUGGAAGGUGGCUUUCUUUUCGGAGAAAGUGUUUAUAGCCUUUGGCCUCUGCAAUCGGAAGAGACUGAGGUCUGCAGCGUAGACUCUUCGGGGUUAGAUACAUUUGUGCUAAGUUAUAGCUUUUUAUAGACAACUUGUUGACUAUAAUUAGUCUUGUAGCUUACUCGCUUAUGCUAUUUUACCUACGCUUAGGAUGUUGACGAUCAGCUGAGCGCG
rnacentral:rRNA from 1 species